AUUGAACGCUGGCGGCAGGCCUAACACAUGCAAGUCGAGCGAGCGGCGGACGGGUGAGUAAUGUAUGGGGACUGCCCGAUAGAGGGGGAUAACUACUGGAAACGGUGGCUAAUACAGCAUACUGUCGGAUAACCCAUAUGGGAUUAGCUCGGAGGUAAGGUAAUGGCUUACCUAGGCGACGAUCCCUAGCUGGUCUGAGAGGAUGAUCAGCCACACUGUGACUGAUACACGGCCCAGACGCCUACGGAGGCAUCAGUGGGGAAUAUUGCACAAUGGGCGCAAGCCUGAUGCAGCCAUGCCGCGUGUAUGAAGAAGGCCCUAGGGUUGUAAUGUACUUUCAGUCGGGAUGCGUUACCGACAGAAGAAGCACCGGCUAACUCCGUGCCAGCAGCCGCGGUAAUUC
rnacentral:rRNA from 1 species